GAGUAACACGUGGGUAACCUGCCUGUAAGACUGGGAUAACUCCGGGAAACCGGAGCUAAUACCGGAUAGUUCCUUGAACCGCAUGGUUCAAGGAUGAAAGACGGUUUCGGCUGUCACUUACAGAUGGACCCGCGGCGCAUUAGCUAGUUGGUGGGGUAAUGGCUCACCAAGGCGACGAUGCGUAGCCGACCUGAGAGGGUGAUCGGCCACACUGGGACUGAGACACGGCCCAGACUCCUACGGGAGGCAGCAGUAGGGAAUCUUCCGCAAUGGACGAAAGUCUGACGGAGCAACGCCGCGUGAGUGAUGAAGGUUUUCGGAUCGUAAAGCUCUGUUGUUAGGGAAGAACAAGUGCGAGAGUAACUGCUCGCACCUUGACGGUACCUAACCAGAAAGCCACGGCUAACUACGUGCCAGCAGCCGCGGUAAUACGUAGGUGGCAAGCGUUGUCCGGAAUUAUUGGGCGUAAAGGGCUCGCAGGCGGUUUCUUAAGUCUGAUGUGAAAGCCCCCGGCUCAACCGGGGAGGGUCAUUGGAAACUGGGAAACUUGAGUGCAGAAGAGGAGAGUGGAAUUCCACGUGUAGCGGUGAAAUGCGUAGAGAUGUGGAGGAA
rnacentral:rRNA from 1 species